AAUUACCCAAUCCUGACACAGGGAGGUAGUGACAAGAAAUAACAAUACAGGGCUUAAAGUCUUGUAAUUGGAAUGAUGGGAAUCUAAACCCUUCCCAGAGUAUCAAUUGGAGGGCAAGUCUGGUGCCAGCAGCCGCGGUAAUUCCAGCUCCAAUAGCGUAUAUUAAAGUUGUUGCAGUUAAGAAGCUCGUAGUUGAAUUUCUGCCUUGUCAUUAAUCUCGCUUCCGAGCGUUUUUUUAUUGACUUGGCAUCUUCUGGAUUUGGUGCCUUCGGGUAUUAUUUUCCAGGAUUUACUUUGAGAAAACUAGAGUGUUUCAAACAGGCAUUCGCCUUGAAUACUACAGCAUGGAAUAACGAAGUAGGACUUUGGUUCUAUUUUGUUGGUUAUUGAGCCAGAGUAAUGGUUAAUAGGAGCAGUUGGGGGCAUUCGUAUUUAA
rnacentral:rRNA from 1 species